rnacentral:misc_RNA from 1 species
CCAGCCUUGUCACGAAUUCGCCCAUUAGGUUGCGUAUCUUCCCUAUUCUUUCACUCAGCGUUCUUACGUUCGUUAUUCGUUUUGAGUACGGGUAUUUCAGAUGCGUUAUAUGAAAGUAAUUGGAAUAAGCAACCCAAUGCGGUUAGGCAAAUUAUUCUGAUUAUAAUGAUGAGAGUUCAAAGGCCUUUAAAUAUUUAUAUUGGACCAUUCUAUCCUAUAACAAUUGGCACUGCUCUAGGGACAAUGAAAGCAGCUUAUUCAUAUGUCACGAUGAUUGUUGGCAUGGACAGCCAAAAAUCUUAACUACAAAAGAAGCAAAAGAUGGCAAAUUAAAUAUUGCAAAACCAAGAGGCAAAGAGUUGAACAUAAUAAAUUAUCACACCAAUUAUCACACAAAAAGAUGUUCAAUCACAUUUUUAUCGUAUUUAUGUAGUAAAAGCAUACACAUAUGCCCACUAUGUUACUCAAUUCACUAAAAUCAUCUACUCUUGGUUAUUUUGCAUCAUAUAUUUUCACAAACAAAAGAAUCUGUUAUUAAUAUAGUUUCAAGAUGCUACAUAAUAUUAUUAGCAAUAUUGUAGAUUAGUCAGACUGUUUUAUGAUGAAUGCA